GGCCGGAUAGCUCAAAUGGUUAGAGCGUCUGUCUAGUGUUCGGAGGUCCCGGGUUCAAGUCCCGGUCUGGUAA